rnacentral:rRNA from 1 species
UACGGAGGGUGCAAGCGUUGUUCGGAAUUACUGGGCGUAAAGGGCGCGUAGGCGGCUUGGUCAGUCCCGUGUGAAAUCCCUCGGCUCAACUGAGGAACUGCACGGGAAACUGCCUGGCUUGAGUUCGGGAGAGGGAAGCGGAAUUCCGGGUGUAGCGGUGAAAUGCGUAGAUAUCCGGAGGAACACCGGUGGCGAAGGCGGCUUCCUGGACCGACACUGACGCUGAGGCGCGAAAGCUAGGGGAGCAAACGGG